UUGUCGGCAUCCAGCAGACAGCGUCUGCCUUCUGCUGCGGCGGAGAGAACUAAAGUUAUUUAGAAGACACGAAGAAUGUCAGAAAAACAGCAUUCCAACUUCUCCGCAGAAGUAUACUUUGUACCAUAAGUUACAAUUUAUCAGGCAUCAUGAGCGAUAUCAUAGAGUGGGACCGUCAGGAGAGUCGAGCUUGCGAAAUUCGGCCCCAGCAGAAGGGCCGGUGGAACACCACUGUUGUCCUUCUCAGAAUAGUUUUCAUUCUUGUAGUUAUAUACUUGUGGAAGCUCUACCAGGGCGACUGAUUCGUAAAAUAGAGAAAAAGAAACUAAUUCGGACUUUGUUCGUGGCACCAACCGAAUUACGAUUUUUUAAUGCGUCAGUGUAGCAGUCAACAAAAGCAUCCUAUCUUUAAAACAAAGAGGAAGCAGGAAAUAACAGCAACAAUAAUACAAGAAAUUGGUUUGGAACUCCUCCUUCUAAAACAUCGUUCUACACAAAAAAAAAAAAAUCUGAAAAAAAUAAUUUUGGCAUUAAAGCGUUUUAUUUUUGACAUA